AUUGAACGCUGGCGGCAGGCCUAACACAUGCAAGUCGAGCGGAGCGGCGGAAGGGUGAGUAAUGCCUAGGAAUCUGCCUGGUAGUGGGGGCUAACGUCCGGAAAGGGGCGCUAAUGCCGCAUACUAGCAGAUGAGCCUAGGUCGGAUGAGCUAGUUGGUGGGGUAAAGGCCUACCAAGGCGACGAUCCGUAACUGGUCUGAGAGGAUGAUCAGUUACACGGGCACUGAGACACGGUCCAGACGCCUAGGGGAGGCAGGAGGGGGGAAUAUUGGACAAUGGGCGAAAGCCUGAUCCAGCCAUGCCGCGUGUGUGAAGAAGGUCUUCGGAUUUUAAAGCUGUUUAAGUUGUGAGGCGUUACCAACAGAAUAAGCACCGGCUAACUUCGUGCCAGCAGCCGCGGUAAUUC
rnacentral:rRNA from 1 species